AAGGUCACUUGCGCCGGAAUCGUCAUGGAGAAGAGUGCUGCAGCGAACAGUAAGCGGCUGCCUCUGAACUUGAGCCGCGCGAGCGCA
rnacentral:sRNA from 1 species